ACUAUAAUAAGAAAAUGAUUCUAAUUUGUUAUUAUUAACUUGCAUACAUCUCAUUUAAGCAGAUACUUCAUUAAAACUAUAAAACAUGAUUGUAUAUGAUAAUUUUGAUGAAUAUUAAAAAUUCAUGUUUUAAACUGCCUUUAAAGCACUGAAUUAUCGAGUCAUUCUCCAAUUAUUAUAUUUUUUUAGAUGCAAAUACAGCAGAUCACUCAAGGGAUGCUGAAACAUUAUUUGGUAUUCAAACAAUUCUGGAAAAAUGCAAAUACAGCAGAUCACUCAAGGGAUGCUGAAACAUUAUUUGGUAUUCAAACAACUCUGGAAAAGUAUGAUCAUCCAAUUUUGAAAAUGAACUAAAAGAUACUGAUUAUAAAGAAUUUAUGCAAUAUGCAAAUACAGCAGAUCACUCAAGGGAUGCUGAAACAUUAUUUGGUAUUCAAACAACUCUGGAAAAGUAUGAACAUCCAAUUUUGAAAAUGAACUAACGAAUACUGAUUAUAAUGAAUUUAUGCAAAUUACAUAUUGCAAUACAGCAGACAAUGAAAGCCAUGGUGAGACAUGAAUUCGCGAUUCUAUCAGUUUGGAAAAUAUAAACAUCUUAUGAUGAAAAUGGACUAGAAGAUACUGAUAAUAAUAAUUGUUUUAUUCAACGUACGUGUAGAGCUUAUAAUAGAAUAUAAUUUAUAGAAAAUUAAUAGUUAUGUAACAAAAUGUUAAUGU